rnacentral:rRNA from 1 species
UACGGGGGGUGCGAGCGUUGUCCGGAAUCACUGGGCGUAAAGGGCGCGUAGGCGGGAUGGCAAGUCGGUCGUGAAAUCCCUCGGCUCAACCGAGGAGCGUCGGCCGAUACUGCCGUUCUUGAGGGAUGCAGAGGAGACUGGAAUUCCCGGUGUAGCGGUGAAAUGUGUAGAGAUCGGGAAGAACAUCAGUGGCGAAGGCGGCCUGCUGGGCUGUUGCUGACGCUGAGGCGCGACAGCGUGGGGAGCAAACAGG